UAGGUUUCAAAAUUGAAAACCCUAAAAUUAAAAACCCCCAAAUUGAAAUGUGAAGGGAAAUUGAAAACCCCAACUGCUACUGUUUUGCUUUGCUUUCCCUUUUGCUGAAUUUAGUUUGUGUAUAAGAAAUUGUACUGAAAUGAGAUUGGAUUUUACAUGAGAGUGACAUAUUCCAUCAAUUUUACUCCUAAUUGGUUUGAGAUUGGAAUGUGAAGGGAAGGGAAAUGGUUUGAUUUUUAAUUUAGCAAUUGCUGAUGUAGUUAGGUUUGAUUUAGUCAUUUAGUAAUUGGUGCUAGGUUCAUUUUGUCCCUGAUGAACGAGGCUAGCUUAUUUCUGCUUCAGAAGAUGGUUUGAUCUGCACAUUUGAUACCACGGGAGAUAUCAAUGAUGAUGAUCAUCUAGAGUCAUUGGAAAGAUGGCAAGCUUCAAUAGAAGACUACGAAAUCUUGCAAAAAGAGACACCAGAUGAUGAGGAAGUUAACCGGGCAUUGUUGGAAGCCAGAGCACAGCUCAAGAAAUAGAUGCUUAUAUAUGCAGAGCUCAAGCUUCACAUUUUAAAAAAUAGAAGGUGAUUAAUGUGGGAACUUCCAUUGCCAAGGUAGGGCUUUUUGGAGAGAGUUAUCAGAAGCUUUGGUGUUUAACGCAUAUUGAAACCUUGGGGUACAGUUUAUUUCGGUUAUCUGUUUAGUUCAGGUUACAAAGGUAUAUGAAAGUCUUUUCC